rnacentral:rRNA from 1 species
GCAUAUCAAUAAGCGGAGGAAAAGAAACCAACCGGGAUUGCCCCCAGUAACGGCGAGUGAAGCGGCAAAAGCUCAAAUUUGAAAUCUGGCCCCUCCGGGGUCCGAGUUGUAAUUUGCAGAGGAUGCUUCGGGUGCGGCCCCUGUCUAAGUGCCCUGGAACGGGCCGUCAGAGAGGGUGAGAGCCCCGUCUUGGGCAGGGUGCCCGCGCCCGUGUGAAGCUCCUUCGACGAGUCGAGUUGUUUGGGAAUGCAGCUCUAAAUGGGUGGUAAAUUUCAUCUAAAGCUAAAUACCGGCCGGAGACCGAUAGCGCACAAGUAGAGUGAUCGAAAGAUGAAAAGCACUUUGAAAAGAGAGUUAAACAGCACGUGAAAUUGUUGAAAGGGAAGCGCUUGCGACCAGACUCGCCCCCGGGGUUCAGCCGGCAUUCGUGCCGGUGUUCUUCCCCGGGGGCGGGCCAGCGUCGGUUUGGGCGGCCGGUCAAAGGCCCCGGGAAUGUGUCGCCCUCCGGGGCGUCUUAUAGCCCGGGGUGCAAUGCGGCCAGCCCGGACCGAGGAACGCGCUUCGGCACGGACGCUGGCGUAAUGGUCACAAACGACCCGUCUUGAAACACGGACCAAGGAGUCUAACAUCUACGCGAGUGUUCGGGUGUCAAACCCGUACGCGCAGUGAAAGCGAACGGAGGUGGGAGCCCCCCCGGGGCGCACCAUCGACCGAUCCUGAUGUCUUCGGAUGGAUUUGAGUACGAGCGUAGCUGUGGGGACCCGAAAGAUGGUGAACUAUGCCUGAAUAGGGCGAAGCCAGAGGAAACUCUGGUGGAGGCUCGCAGCGGUUCUGACGUGCAAAUCGAUCGUCAAAUUUGGGUAUAGGGGCGAAAGACUAAUCGAACCAUCUGGUAGCUGGUUCCUGCCGA